CGAAAUGCGAUAAGUAAUGUGAAUUGCAGAAUUCAGUGAAUCAUCGAAUCUUUGAACGCACCUUGCGCUCCUUGGUAUUCCUUGGAGCAUGCCUGUUUGAGUAUCAUGAAAUCUUCAAAGUAAAUCUUUUGUUAACUCAAUUGGUUUCUACUUUGGUAUUGGAGGUCUUUGCAGCUUCACACCUGCUCCUCUUUGUUCAUUAGCAGGAUCUCAGUGUUAUGCUUGGUUCCACUCGGCGUGAUAAGUUAUCUAUCGCUGAGGACACUGUAAAAGGUGGCCAAGGUAAAUGCAGAUGAACCGCUUCUAAUAGUCCAUUGACUUGGACAAUACUUUUAUGAUCUGAUCUCAAAUCAGGUAGGACUACCCGCUGAACUUAAGC
rnacentral:misc_RNA from 1 species